rnacentral:tRNA from 1 species
GCGGCUCUCGCUCAAUAGGCAGAAGCAACCCGCUUAAACCGGGUCGAGUCUCGGUUCGAAUCCGAGGAGCCGCACCA